rnacentral:lncRNA from 1 species
UUCAUAAUCGUGUGUAACAACCGUGUUCUCUUGCUCUCUGCAGAACUCCUAAGGUUUUCUCGCUCCGUCACCAAAGCGCAAUUGCAGCGAACGCAACACUCUCCUUGGCACAUCUCCGUUACUCUCGAAAACGACACUCUCCUUGGCACGUCUCUGUCACUCUCUUCGUCCCGUUCGAUUCAAAUAAGAAUUCUCCGAGGUCAAUUUCAUUGAGCAAAUGUCGGUUGCAAAGAAGUUGAUUAGAUGUGUUAUCCUUGACUUGGACGACACGCUGCUCAACACAGGUUUGUUGCCAUUCUUUAACAUAGAAUAUUUGUCUUUGCUCACACAGUUGAAGCAUAUAAUCGAGUAGCUUCAUUUUUUUUUCUUCCUAAUUGGAGCUAUAUAUUCUAUAACGCUGGAGAUUGCGAAUGUUUCGAUGCAGAUGGCUUCAGGAACCUUUGGCUUCUUGUGUUUCUUUUCCUUUGGUUUUGUGUGCUAACAUAAGUAUGGUCUUGUUUUUUCUUUUAUUUUCUAUGCGUGCAGGAUGGAAGAAUUUUCUCUGUUAUAAUUGGUGGAGAUGAAGUAAGAACAGGGAAACCUUCCCCAGAAAUGUGAGAUGCAGUGGUGUAUUCUCUAGCUUUGAUUAUUGAGGGUCGGUCACCUGAUUUCUACAUUUGAAUGUUCUUCGUCUUCUAAAACUUUUAUAGUGUGUUGUGAUGUUAGAUUCCUUGAAGCUACUAGCAGGAUAAACAUUGAGCCCUCCAGCUGUCUUGUCAUUGAAGAUACUGUGUGAGUUCCUUGAUUCCUGUCUUUCUCCCAGUAUUUUAUCUUUCAUAUUGUUGAACAAACUUAAACGUGGAUAGUUGCAUUAAAUAGUUUGUUGUUAUAAUAAUGGUGUUAGA